rnacentral:rRNA from 1 species
UACGGAGGGAGCUAGCGUUAUUCGGAAUUACUGGGCGUAAAGCGCACGUAGGCGGCUUUGUAAGUUAGAGGUGAAAGCCUGGAGCUCAACUCCAGAAUUGCCUUUAAGACUGCAUCGCUUGAAUCCAGGAGAGGUGAGUGGAAUUCCGAGUGUAGAGGUGAAAUUCGUAGAUAUCGGGAGGAACACCAGUGGCGAAGGCGGCGACCUGGGCCAAUAUUGACGCUGAGGUGCGAAAGCGUGGGGAGCAAACAGG